rnacentral:rRNA from 1 species
CGUAGGUGCGAGCGUUGUCCGGAUUAUUGGCGUAAGAGCUCGUAGGCGGUCUGUCGCGUCGAUCGUGAAACUUGGGGCUUAACCCUGAGCUUGCGGUCGAUACGGGCAUGACUGGAGUUCGGCAGGGAGACUGGAAUUCCUGGUGUAGCGGUGAAAUGCGCAGAUAUCAGGAGGAACACCGGUGGCGAAGGCGGGUCUCUGGGCCGAUACUGACGCUGAGGAGCGAAAGCGUGGGAGCGAACAGGAUU